GGGUUCCCAAUAUAUGUCAAGACUUAUGUCUAUUUAAAGGGAGGUCUCUAGACUUUCUUAGUAUUGAUUUUACAUCAAGAAAAUCUUUCCUCUCUCCAUCUCCAUGCCUCCUCUCUCUCAUAUUCUUUCUUUCCAUGCUUAAAGGUUGGGUGUUCCCUCUUCCACACGCCUAGAAGGAGUUUUAGUGAUUUAGAAAUCAAGAAUCGAGAAGAAGA
rnacentral:lncRNA from 1 species